rnacentral:rRNA from 1 species
UAUUUAUUAGAUAAAAAACCAAUGCCCUUCGGGGCUCCUUGGUGAAUCAUAAUAACUUAACGAAUCGCAUGGCCUCGCGCCGGCGAUGGUUCAUUCAAAUUUCUGCCCUAUCAACUUUCGAUGGUAGGAUAGUGGCCUACCAUGGUAUCAACGGGUAACGGGGAAUUAGGGUUCGACUCCGGAGAGGGAGCCUGAGAAACGGCUACCACAUCCAAGGAAGGCAGCAGGCGCGCAAAUUACCCAAUCCCGACACGGGGAGGUAGUGACAAUAAAUACUGAUACAGGGCUCUUUUGGGUCUUGUAAUUGGAAUGAGUACAAUUUAAAUCCCUUAACGAGGAACAAUUGGAGGGCAAGUCUGGUGCCAGCAGCCGCGGUAAUUCCAGCUCCAAUAGCGUAUAUUAAAGUUGUUGCAGUUAAAAAGCUCGUAGUUGAACCUUGGGCCUGGCUGGCCGGUCCGCCUCACCGCGUGUACUGGUCCGGCCGGGCCUUUCCUUCUGGGGAACCUCAUGCCCUUCACUGGGCGUGUUGGGGAACCAGGACUUUUACUUUGAAAAAAUUAGAGUGUUCAAAGCAGG